rnacentral:rRNA from 1 species
CCUACGGGGGGCAGCAGUGAGGAAUAUUGGUCAAUGGACGAGAGUCUGAACCAGCCAAGUAGCGUGAAGGAUGACUGCCCUAUGGGUUGUAAACUUCUUUUAUAAAGGAAUAAAACGAGGCACGUGUGCCUUUUUGCAUGUACUUUAUGAAUAAGGAUCGGCUAACUCCGUGCCAGCAGCCGCGGUAAUACGGAGGAUCCGAGCGUUAUCCGGAUUUAUUGGGUUUAAAGGGAGCGUAGAUGGGUUGUUAAGUCAGUUGUGAAAGUUUGCGGCUCAACCGUAAAAUUGCAAUUGAUACUGGGAGUCUUGAGUACAGUUGAGGUAGGCGGAAUUCGUGGUGUAGCGGUGAAAUGCUUAGAUAUCACGAAGAACCCCGAUUGCGAAGGUAGCUUACUAAACUGUGACUGACAUUGAUGCUCGAAAGUGUGGGUAUCAAACAGGAUUAGAUACCCUUGUAGUC